rnacentral:rRNA from 1 species
AGUGAACGCUGGCGGUAGGCCUAACACAUGCAAGUCGAACGGCAGCACAGUAAGAGCUUGCUCUUACGGGUGGCGAGUGGCGGACGGGUGAGGAAUACAUCGGAAUCUACUUUUUCGUGGGGGAUAACGUAGGGAAACUUACGCUAAUACCGCAUACGACCUACGGGUGAAAGCAGGGGAUCUUCGGACCUUGCGCGAUUGAAUGAGCCGAUGUCGGAUUAGCUAGUUGGCGGGGUAAAGGCCCACCAAGGCGACGAUCCGUAGCUGGUCUGAGAGGAUGAUCAGCCAAACUGGAAACGAGACAAGGUCCAGAACUCUACGGGGGGGAGCAAGGGGGAAAAUUGGAACAUGGGGGCAAGGCUGAUCCAGGCAUACCGGGGGGGUGAAGAAGGCCCUUCGGGUUGUAAAGCCCUUUUGUUGGGAAAGAAAAGCAGCAGGUUAAUACCCCGCUGUUCUGACGGUACCCAAAGAAUAAGCACCGGCUAACUUCGUG